UGUCAACGCGAUCGUGCCGCCGCUGGCCAUCGAUGGCCCGGCACUCACCAUUCGUAAGUUCAAGAAGGACAAGCUGACGCUGGAUCAACUCGUCAAGUUCGGCGCGAUCACGCCUGAGGGCGCUCAGAUCCUGCAAAUCAUCGGGCGCUGCCGCGCCAACGUCCUGAUUUCAGGCGGCACGGGCUCCGGCAAGACCACGCUGCUGAACUGCCUGACCAACUACAUCGACGAAGACGAGCGCAUCAUCACAUG
rnacentral:misc_RNA from 1 species